rnacentral:lncRNA from 1 species
AUGUCCCCCACCUCGGGGCUGAGCCAGGCAGCCCGCGUCCUUUGCAGGGGCAGGAUGCAUCUGCCCGAGCCUGGAGAGAAAAACUUGAGUGGGAGCCUGCUGAAAGGAGCAGGAACCUGCCCGCUCGCCUGGACGCUGCGGUGGCCACGAGGCCGGCACAGCCCGGGCCUGGCAUCCCUGCGGGGAGGCUCCAGCAGCCAGCUUCGCUCCUUCCCUCCCCUCUUCCCCGAGCCCAGCCCGGCAGGAUGCCCGGAGCAGCCCAGCAUCAGCUGCAGCGAGAGGUGGGGCCCUGCUGGCGUCCUGGCAGGGGGAGAGGAGAUGGCCCUGGGGGUGGGCAGGCGAGACGGAGCAGAGGAGGGAGCAAGAAAUAAAUGCGAACAGCCCGUCGGGCUCUCGGGGGAGACGGGGGCCCAGGCGGAGCGCUGCCGCGCGUGCGGAGAGAGGAGGGGGACGCAGGGGGAUGUGGGGUUGGUGAGUGGUGCCCGUGCCUCUGUGGACGUGCUUGUGCUGCUCGUUUUCACGUGCAAGAGGGGUGAUUUGCGCGUGUCGCAUGUGAGAAGCGUGCGCUGGGUGCGUGAUGUGCGUUGCGUCCAGCGCCUUCUCCAGGCGUGCUGCGCCUCGCGCGCGCGUUCGUCUCGGGGCGGAUGUGGCUACUGCCACGAGCUCAUUAGGCGAAUAUUGUUUUAUAAUCGGUGCCAUAGCAAUGGUGAGGCAGGCUCCUCGCUGCCACCUGAUCCCUCUGCCUCGUCCGCCGCACGCCCUGCAAAACUCCGAGACCAUCUGCUGAUCCGUGCCACGGGCUGGAGCCCGCCCAGAGCGUGCCGGAGGAGCUCGGCUCUGACACCUGACGGCUCCAAGCCUGGGUCCUGCCGCGGCUGCACGGGGGAGCCCCCGGUCUCUGUGCACCUGCACGGUGCCAGCACCGAGGAUAUUUAUUUAUUUACUGCGUUUCUAUGCAUCCUGCCCUUUUAUCCACGUGGUUUAUUGUUGAAGUCAUCGCCCACCCAGCGAGGAAAAGGGAAAAAUUUUGAAAUUCCCUUGCAGGGACAGUGUGUGAUGAGGAGGAGGAGGAGGAGAAUAAGCAGGGGUUUGCUGUGA